CGUUGCACAACACCAAUUACCGGACUCCUCUAGGCGGAUUUCGGGAUUUACCGGAGGGAAAGAGCUCAGUGAAGGGUGUAAUUUUGAAAGGGAAGUGGG
ensembl:ncRNA C07H4.4 ncRNA